AGUGAACGCUGGCGGUAGGCCUAACACAUGCAAGUCGAACGGCAGCACAGGAGAGCUUGCUCUCUGGGUGGCGAGUGGCGGACGGGUGAGGAAUACAUCGGAAUCUACUCUGUCGUGGGGGAUAACGUAGGGAAACUUACGCUAAUACCGCAUACGACCUACGGGUGAAAGCAGGGGACCUUCGGGCCUUGCGCGAUUGAAUGAGCCGAUUUCGGAUUAGCUAGUUGGUGGGGUAAAGGCCCACCAAGGCGACGAUCCGUAGCUGGUCUGAGGGGAUGAUCAGCCACACUGGAACUGAGACACGGUCCAGACUCCUACGGGAGGCAGCAGUGGGGAAUAUUGGACAAUGGGCGCAAGCCUGAUCCAGCCAUACCGCGUGGGUGAAGAAGGCCUUCGGGUUGUAAAGCCCUUUUGUUGGGAAAGAAAUCCAGCUGGCUAAUACCCGGUUGGGAUGACGGUACCCAAAGAAUAAGCACCGGCUAACUUCGUGCCAGCCGCCGCGGUAA
rnacentral:rRNA from 1 species